UUCAUUAUUGUACCAUUCUUCAUUCUAUAUCAGUACGAGUCUCAUUGUAGGUUAAAGGAAAUUUUCGGUAACUGGUAAGUAUUUGAUGCUUAUUUAUCUAUUUGUACUAUUUUAGGAAGCAAUCUUCUUCAUAAAAAAAUAAAAUAAUAGUUGUUCUUCUUAAAAAAAAAAGUUCCAUAUCUCUUCAUCCCAAUAAAGAGAAUUCCGAAAUUUUCUAAUCAGAAUGUUUUGCAGAGACAUUAAUUCUUAAAAUGAUUUGGUAAUUUAUUUUUUUCUUUGAAUGAUGUGUUAUCUUCUUUAAUUUAAUUUUAGUAAAUAGCUUCCUUUACUUUGAUGCUAUGGCAUUAUUUUUAUCUCAAUGUACUUUUUCUUGUGGAAUUUUAAUGCCUAUGUUAUCUAAUGUUCUUGUUUUAUCAGUUGGAAUAUAGUAGUUGUACGAUUUGAAUUUUACAGGAUUUUGGAAGUGGGACAAUGCUACAAGUUUAAGAGGUAAAUUUUGGAUGAUUUUAUACAGUUAGUUAUAACAGAAAAUGGUACUUGUGCUUCAAUAUCUAUGUACUUUAGGAAAAAAUUGCUGGUAUGAUUACAUAUUUGUGCUUUAUUGAGUUGUAAUAUAAUAGCCAUAUAAUUUGGAUCUUACAGAAUUUUGAAAGUCGAAUUUAUUUGACGUGUAGAGACAAAUGCUUUGGAGUAGGUAAACUAGGGACUUCUUUGUUCUGUAAGCUUAGUUACACCGAAAAUUGAUAGUGCUUAGUUUCUUUUACGAUUUGAUAUUUGAACUCAUCAUCCUGCAUGCACUUUGUUUCAAAAUCAUUUUCUCUUCUUAAGUUAGGAGUUUUAAAAGGUUACUUCAGGAAUAUUCGUACGGAGAAAUAUGUGCCUAUAAAGUUUAUGGUCCAUUUCUCAUAUGAUGUAAACAAAACUUCAAAUAAUGCUCUUGCCGACUUUUUUAUCUGCAUAAAGUGCAAGUUUGUAAAUGCAUUUCCCAUCUACAGGUAAUAUAAAUUGUAAAUAAAUUACCAUAAAGAGAAAGAGGAGACUGAAGAGGGAAUUUCCGCAGAGACAGGUAAAUUUCUCUUCUUGUUGUCUGAUGAUAAUAUUAUGAUACUAUGGUGUAUUGAAUUGACCACCGUCUAACAGCUUCUGUGAAUGUUCAUAAAAGUUCUCUUUAGUCGUAUUGUGUAUAAAGUUAUUUUUUUUAGUUCCUACUUGGUUAAAUAAAUCAACAAUCUUAACGGACUAACUUCCAUUGAUUUCAGCUGUGUAUUAUGCAAAGUACAACCUCCUUCUGAAGAUGUUAAUAUGGAUAAUGUUGAGGAUUUGAGGACUUCAAAGCGAAUUGUCAUUUAUAAUGAGAUAUAUUUAAUUUCUUGUUACAGUUUUUUAUGAUAUCUUUUGGGUUUUGUUUUUAAGGCUAGACCUCCUAAAUUACACUUGUUGUUCAUGUUUUCAAUAGCAUAAUUCCAUGUCAGAUUUUACUUCUGGCUUGCUUCGGGGAUUUCUUCAUGAGGGAAAACUUCGUGAUAACCGUUUUAAUCCAUUUGAAUCACUGGUAAUUAUUUAUGGGUAUGCAGACAUGAAUAUGGCUUUUGAUGGUGAUAUAGUCGCAGUUGAGCAUUUGCCUCAAGAACAGUGGCACGAGGAGUAGUCUUUGGAAUUAGUUGAUGAAGGUUUGUCCACAUUGUUUUUUACUUUGAUGAACAUGAUUUUCUUUAUAUUGCAAAAUUGAUCUACUUUUCUUUCGAACUAGGCGAAAUGGCCUGGAUUUGUCCUCUAUUAACAAUUAGAUCAUCAUGAUAUGGACUUAUUGACUAACUUAAAACCAUUAAAGAGUUAUUAUUAUCUCAUAAGACUAAUUAGCACUAUCAUUUGUGUCAUACGUGGCUUAAAUUCACCCCUUCUACCUCCUCUUAACUCUCUACCCGGCCUCCAUUCAACCUAUCAAUCCUUCUCCAUCUACCAUCGUUAUCGUUG
rnacentral:lncRNA from 1 species